GUCUACAGUCAUGCCACCCUGAAUGUACCUGAUUUUGUGUGAUCUCAGAAGCUAAGCAGGGUAGGCUUACUUAAUACUUAGAUAGGAGACUGCCUGGGAAUACCAGGUGUUGUAUGUA
ensembl:rRNA 5S_rRNA 5S ribosomal RNA